rnacentral:rRNA from 1 species
UCAGACGAUGCGUCAUGCAUAUCAAUAAGCGGAGGAAAAGAAACUAACAAGGAUUCCCCUAGUAACGGCGAGUGAAGCGGGAAGAGCUCAAAUUUGAAAUCUUAAAGGGUUUCCCUUUACGAAUUGUAGUUUAAAGAAGUGUUUUCUGUUGAGGUUUUGGUAAAAGUUCUUUGGAAUAGGACAUCAUAUAGGGUGAGAAUCCCGUAUUUGACCUUUACUUUCAACUUUGUGAUACACUUUCAAAGAGUCGGAUUGUUUGGGAAUGCAGUCCAAAAUGGGUGGUAAAUUUCAUCUAAAGCUAAAUAUUGGCGAGAGACCGAUAGCGAACAAGUACCGUGAGGGAAAGAUGAAAAGAACUUUGAAAAGAGAGUUAAACAGUACGUGAAAUUGUCAAAAGGGAAGCGUUUGACACCAGUGUUGUUUUUCUGAAAAUCAAUUAAAGAACUGUUUAUGCUAAGUUGUUUAGACUUUAUCAGCUAACUGUUUAGUUUUGAGCUUUUCUUUAAUGCACUUUUCAGUUAACAAGUCAACAUCAAUUUCUUUUGCUGUAAAAAAGCUUGAGGAAGGUGGCUUGAGAUUCGUCUUAAGUGUUUAUAGCCUCUUGCCUAUGCAGUCGGAGAGAUUGAGGUCUGCAGCGUAGAUCCUUCGGGGCUAAAUGCAUUUGUGCUAAGUUAUAGCAUUUUAUAGACAACUUGUUGACUAUGAUUUGUCUUGUAGCUUACUCGCUUAUGUUAUUUUACCUACGCUUAGGAUGUUGAGCGCAUGUCUCUCUCU